rnacentral:lncRNA from 12 species
CGAGAAGGUUCCUUUGAGCUUUUGUGUGUUGCUGGGGGAGAUGUGGGCGCACAAGGGAUCGCGUUACAACUUUCAUUUCCUGAAAUGUUUGAGGGAACAUCCAGGGUUUUAUCCACACAUCAGGCAAAGUUGAGGGCUCGGAUUUCAGGUCUUGUCACUCAGCUGUCACCAAACAAAUGAGCCUCUCAGAGCUGGAGACGGAGAGAGCUACCUGCUAUUCAUGACCCCGAAAGCAGCCACUUCGAUGCAUUUCACCACCGAAGAGGAGAAAGGUGGGGGACGCGGGUCCACGGGAGCCCACUCAGUAUCUGCCUCGCACGGCCGCGGUCAGACACAGGCACUUGGUAAAACUCUAAUACUGCAGCUUUUGAUAUUUUUCACUCUUUUUUGGGGGGGGGGGGGGGGGGGGGGGGGGGGGGGGGGGGGGGGGGGGGGGGGGG